CACACACUCCUUACAGUGAUGCACUGUGCCACCAGUAAGUCAAAAGCAACAGUGACAAAUGACCAUGGACUGAAAGCUCUGAUGCUGUCUUGUUUCCCCUGGGAAUGGCCCAGCCGGCAUCUCCUUACCUAGCCUAGUCCCUGGGCCUUCGUGGGAGCCCUGGAGAUCUUGCAGAAGAUCAGGAAGCUGUCCUUUCGUGCUGUGGCUUCACUCCGCCAGAAAAAUGACCAGAAUGGUUUUCAUAGCACAGUUUGGUGGAAGUCUUUUUGAGCAAGGAUACAGUUUCUCCAGGCUGCUAUGUAUACCCUGGAGACUAAAGAUUGUAAACUUGGGGAUAUUUUCCUGAAGAAGUAAUGCUGGAUGCCUUUCCCUAAUGAGUUAUCUGAGUGAACAGAGAGCGUACUGUUUUCCUGCACCUGGCUGUGUAGCCCUUCAGAAUCUUCUAGAAAAGAUGAGAGAGCAGAAAUGCCUGCAGAUGGCCUGAAUGAGAAGAAAAGGAAAGGAGAAGAUCAGAGCUACUAGGAAUUUGUUUCUGAAAACAUCAUUUUGAGGAUAUACUUGAAUGACGCAAAAAAAUGCUUCUCCCUUCUGGACGACCUCACCUAUAUCCGCAUUCUUCAGGCGUCUAUUGUGAGGUAUUCUAUACUCAAGUGUGGACUGGGAUCGGGUCUCCAUCAUCAAUCCCACUUGGUGCUUAACUUGUACACGUAUUUUUUAUCUUCAUUGGUAUGCUUAUGAAAUACUCAUCACCUCCUUUAAAGCCUUAUUUCCAUAAAGGCAGGAAUGAUAUCCACUUUGUGAUGACCUCCUCAGGGCUCCAUAUCUGUUGAAUGAAUUACUGAGUGAAUUAAUUAAAAAACAUCAUAGCUGGGAAGUUCACUUAGUGUUAGAGUGCUUGCCUAGCAUGCAUGAGGCCCUGGGUUCGAUUCCUCAGUACCACAUAAACAAAAACUACAUAAAAACAUCACAACUCACACCUUUAUCAUUUCCCUACAGAUCGAGGUAAGUGCUACCUGUGAGAUUUAGAAGUAUUUAUAUAGUAUACUGAGCUCAUGAUUGGGCUUUUUUUUUGGUUAUUUUUUCUGUUGCAAGUCCAGGCUGCUACAGUUUCUCAUGGGAAAUCACACAUCAUUUUAUGAUUUUUGCCAUUUUGGUUUGCUUUAUUGUUUUCUACUUUUGUACAAUUAUCUUUAGUAUAAUGAGUACAAUUAAUAUCUUUAGGACAAUUCUUUAGUACAAUGAUCAUUCCAAGACCAAUCCAGCAAGAAAUAAUCCAUAUGUAAGGUCCCCAACUCCGGUUGAUUUGGUACUCAUUCUUUUUCAUUUGGUGCUUGUCCUGGGGUUUGAAC